AGGGAAUUUUGCGCAAUGGGCGAAAGCCUGACGCAGCAACGCCGCGUGAGGGAUGACGGCCUUCGGGUUGUAAACCUCUGUUGAGUGGGAAAAAAGGGUAGCAAUACUUUGAUGGUACCAUUCGAGUAAGCACCGGCUAACUACGUGCCAGCAGCCGCGGUAAUACGUAGGGUGCGAGCGUUGUUCGGAAUCACUGGGCGUAAAGGGAGCGUAGGCGGGAUCGUAAGUUAGGAGUUUAAUGCAUGGGCUUAACCCAUGACCUGCUUUUAAUACUGCGAUUCUUGAGUAUGGGAGAGGGCGAUGGAAUUCCAGGUGUAGCGGUGGAAUGCGUAGAUAUCUGGAAGAACACCAGUAGCGAAGGCGGUCGCCUGGCCUAAUACUGACGCUGAGGCUCGAAAGCUAGGGGAGCAAAC
rnacentral:rRNA from 1 species